rnacentral:rRNA from 1 species
AACAAACGCUGGCGGCGUGCCUAAUACAUGCAAGUCGAACGGGGUAGCAAUACCUAGUGGCGCACGGGUGAGGAACGCGUGGAUAAUCUGCCUUAGAAUGGGGGAUAACUAGUCGAAAGAUUAGCUAAUACCGCAUAAGACCACAAGAACUGCGGUUCAAGGGGUCAAAGGUUUUUCGCUCUAAGAUGAGUCCGCGUAAGAUUAGCUAGUUGGUAGGGUAACGGCCUACCAAGGCGACGAUCUUUAACUGGUCUGAGAGGAUGAUCAGUCACACUGGAACUGAGACACGGUCCAGACUCCUACGGGAGGCAGCAGUAGGGAAUAUUGCACAAUGGAGGAAACUCUGAUGCAGCGACGCCGCGUGAGUGAUGAAGGCCUUCGGGUCGUAAAGCUCUGUCGCAGGGGAAUAACACAAUGAAGGUACCCUGUAAGAAAGGAUCGGCUAACUUCGUGCCAGCAGCCGCGGUAACAC